rnacentral:sRNA from 1 species
GCCAGGCAUGGUGGCACAUGCUUGUCAUCCCAGCAGCUUGGGAGGCUGAGGCAGGAGGAUUGUAAAUUCAAAGCCAGCCUCAGCAACUUAGUGAGGCCCUAAGCAACUCAGGGAGAUCCUGUCUCUA